ACUAAUAAAAUGGCCAUGGAUGUAUUUCAGAUAUCAAAAUAAAUUAUAUUCACAUUGUAUUAUCUGUGAUGCAAAUGUUCUAUCUAUAUCUGAAUCUGUAGAAAAUCAUUUAAACUCGCAUUCUAAAAAACAACGGAAGAAUCAUAUACUUCGGAGAUGGUCAUGGAAAUAUUUCACAAAAAGAGAUGAUUUUGUGGUGGAGUGUAAUAUUUGUUACAACAACGUAUCUCUUUCUAUUGGGACUCAUCUUACUGUUCAUAUAAAAACGACACAUUCGGAUGAAUUAAAAAAUAUACAAGAAACACACGACACACCUGGAUCGUCAGAACGUGUUUUAUCACUUGAAACGGACAGAAUGCCUCUAAGUAUUGCAAAUAAAAAGCAUGUGUGGAAAUAUUACAUAAAACUGUCCGAUUUUAAAGCGCAGUGCAAGUUUUGUGAAAAGAAAUAUAAUUAUUUAACCUCUUCAAAUUGUCAUACACAUAUAUCAAAACAUCAUACAAGAAUUUGGAAAUACGAAAAAGAGAAAAAACUAAUAAAAUUGCCAUGGAUCUAUUUCAAGUAUCAAAAUAAAUUGUAUUCACAAUGUAUUAUCUGUGAUGCAAAUGUUCUAUCUACAUCUGAAUCUGUGGAAAAUCAUUUAAACUCGCAUUCUGAAGAACAACGAAAGAAUCAUAUACUUCGCGAUUGGUCAUGCAAAUAUUUCACAAAAAGAGGUGAUUUUGUGGUGGAGUGUAAUAUUUGUCACAACAACGUAUCUCUUUCUAUUAAGUCUCAUCUGACUGCUCAUAUAAAAACGACACAUUCGGAUGAAUUAAAAAAUAUACAAAAAACACGCGACACAGCUGAUUCGUCAGAACGUGUUUUAUCACUUGAAACAGACAGAAUGCCUCUAAGUAUUGCAAAUAAAAAGCAUGUGUGGAAAUAUUACAUAAAACUGCCCGAUUUUAAAGCGCAGUGCAAGUUUUGUGAAAAGAAAUAUAACUAUUUAAACUCUUCAAAUUGUCAUACACAUAUAUCAAAACAUCACACAAGAAUUUGGAAAUACGAAAAAGAGAAGAAACUAGUAAAAUGGCCAUGGAUGUAUUUCAGGUAUCAAAAUAAAUUAUAUUGUCAAUGUAUUAUCUGUGAUGCAAAUGUUCUAUCUACAUCUGAAUCUGUGGAAAAUCAUUUAAACUCGCAUUCUGAAGAACAACGGAAGAAUCAUAUACUUCGCGAUUGGUCAUGGAAAUAUUUCACAAAAAGAGAUGAUUCUGUGGUGGAGUGUAAUAUUUGUCACAACAACAUAUCUGUUUCUGUUUGUUCUAGCCUGAUUCGUCACAUAAAAAUGAUACAUUCGGACAAAUUAGAAAAUAUACAAGAAACACACGACACAGCUGGUUCGUCAGAACGCGUUUUAUUACUUGAAAAAAUGGACACAAUGUUUAUGUCACCAAAAGAUUGUUAUAUCGAUACGUCCAACUUUUGGAUACAUAUCAAAGAAAUGCAUAAAAAAAUUUUUAAUUUGGAAGAAAAAUUCCGAAGCUUACACGGAUCGUCAAGAAUAUAUUUCAAAUAUUUCAACUCAUUGGCUUUGAAUUGUAUUAUUUGUAAUGAAAGCGUUUUAUUUUUAUCUGAAAGCUUAGAAGAUCACAUACGCUCGCAUUCUAAGGAACAAUUAGAAAAACAUACAUUUCAUAGUUGGCUAUGGAAAUAUUGUACAAAAAGAGAUGAUUUUGUGGUAGAAUGUCAUAUUUGUCGCAACAAUUUAUCUCUUUCUGAAACGCGUCUAAAUUGUCACAUAAAAAUGACAGAUUUGGGUAAUUGAAAGAACACGCAAGAAACAGACCACACGGAUGAUUUGUCAGAAAUCGUUAGAUCACUUAAAACAGAUAGAAUGUCUAUGUCACCAAAAGAUCGUUAAGUAUUAUUAUCGAAAUGUCUAACUUUGGACAUUACAUAUAAAAAAAUGCUUGACAAGUUUUUUAAUUUUAAACAAAGAUAACGAAGUUUACAUGGAUUAUCAAGAAUAUAUUCUGAGUAUUUAAACUGAUUGGCUUCAAAAUGCAUUAUUUUGGCUGUGGAGAAAUUGUACCAAAAGGAAUGAUUUGGAAAUGGAGUAUAAUAAUUGUCACAAAAGCAUAUCUGUUCCUAUUAGAACUCAUUUCAAUGACCAUAAUAUAGACAAAUAUCAUUGGACGAACUAACUAAUCCGAAUAAGAAAUGGAAAUAUAUUCAGAAAUUGACAAUGGAAAUGAUGGUAACGGCGAUCAAGUUGUAUCAUAACCAGCAAUAAUGGUAGUUUUAAUUUUGACGAUUUAAAUUUAAUAAAAGAUAGAUACAAGAAAAAUAUAUGUAUAUGAU